GUGAAGGAGCCGAUCUCGGAGGGGCUAAGUCAUGGCUCAGAGCUGCCCUGCCAGAGAGCAGCACAACUGGGAUGAGGACCCAGGCCAUUGUGUCCCCAGUGCUGUGUCCUGGGCCCCAUGUCAUUCUAGUCUGGUCCGGCCUGGGCUCCUGUGAGCAGAGUGUUUGGAAACUGGGAUAUAUUUCCUAUCCACACCCACUUUUAUUGGCUAGAAAUGCAUCGUUAAACAGAGGGCGCCCCUUACAGUCAAUCCCAUCUUCAGACUGGAAGUGAGAGUUUGUACCUGGCCCGUGCCACCAGGUUUUGGAGGAAACUGAGGUAAAUCAGACAGACCUGCUUGCUGCUCCCGGAAGCUCACUGCCCACUGCAGAUUACACUUGAAAAGCACCCUUCUUUCUCAUUCCCCAAAUACCCGAUUCCAAGGCCUGCACUCUUACAUUUUUCUGCAUCCUCUCAUUUCUUGGGUCUCUGUGCCCGGAAAUGUGUGGCUCUCUCUUCCCCUGAAGAGGUGAUUCUGGUGAAGGGAAGAGGUCAAGGGAAUUGAGCGCUUAUGCUCUCCUAGGAACUGCUCUAAGAGGUAGCAUGCAUU
rnacentral:lncRNA from 1 species